rnacentral:ncRNA from 1 species
ACCUUCCACUAGGGGUGCACUUGAUUGUGCUGAGAGAGGUGAACACCUUAACCCUUUGAACUUGAACUGGUUGAUACCAGCGUAAGAAAGUGGGGAGUGGUACGU